rnacentral:lncRNA from 1 species
AUGGAGGAGAAACGCCUUCCCACGCAAUGUGUGCCCACUGAGUCACUGCAGCCACACCAUAGUGGCACCACCGAGGGAGAGGUUGUUUUAUCCCAAGAAAAGGUCCCUUUAUUUAGCAGCACCUUCACCCUCAACAUGACUUCCAGAGCUGGGAGCACUCCUAGGCCAUGUCUUCUCCCAGAAACACUUUAUUUUUGUGAACACACUCAGAGGGCACCACCGCAGGAGCUUGGGAUCUAUCACAUCAUUGUGACAGCCACAAGGGGUGAGAACAUUGGGUAUUCCAAGAGGGGCACCAGGAUGAGGAUGCAGGUGGCUGUUUCCUUGGAUGGCGCCCAGGAGAUCGGCAAGCUGUGGGCUACAGGAUGCCAAAUCCAUUGGCCCAUCCACCAUAGCAAAUUGAGGCCGUUCGCUGCCCCUUUGAUGUUCUGCCUCCGACACCACAGCUCGCCUGGGGCAACAGGGCUGGAUCCGAAAGCCCCGGUGGUGUGUCCAGAGGCAGCCAGCUCCCAUCCGCUCCCCCGCGCCCCCUGAGCAGGGCUGGGUGGAGCCCCCCAACACCCACUGCGCUCCCUGGCAUCGCCGCGGGGCCACGCUCGCAGGCGGCCGGCCCCCUCCCCACCCCACCGCCCCCUUUAAUUAAAAAUUGAAAUCACAUAAUUACCUCUUCAUUAAAGCCAAUUAAAGCUGGCUGACGAGGGAGGUAGGCGGCACAUUUUGCAACUGGCUGCAGAGAUGAGACAGUGCGCAGCGCAAUUACGGCGUCUGUUUGCUUCUCCUCAACCCCACGGCUUCAAUGGGGCUCGCUUUGAAAGCACCUCUGGGUGGUCGAGGAGAAAGGCCGGGCGGCCUCAC